UACCGCCCCAUCCCCGGUAACCCGGCAGUGGCGGAGCCAGCCGCGCCCCGUGCGGCGGGGGGCCCCGUCCCCGGGCACGGCUCCUGCCCCGCACCUCGCCAGGGGCUGGGGGCCGAGAGGUCUCCCUGGCGGAGGGGUUGGCCUGGCUGCCGUGGGGCCGCCUGUGGUGGGGGGGAACCGCCGGUGACGGGUUCCUUCCCCGCGGCGCUGUGAGGUGCCCGCCGGGUGUCUGCUCGACGCCCCCCGGGUUUCUUCAGCACCCGCCCGCUUGUGACUUGCCCGGGGGGCGUGCGGUGUCCAGCCGUGGGCGCCAAGCCGGCCCGCGCCCCCGUGCCGUGGCCGCGGGCCCCCAGAACGGCCGCCCGGUGGCGUCUGGGCCUCACCUGCCCCCGGGGGCCGCUGCCCGCGGGCCUGCUGGGCUUUGCACGGCCAAAGGUUAAAAUGUGUGAUGGUGACCCAGAUAAUUGGCAUAUUGGGGAGAAAUGCCUUGCCCCUUGUCUUGAAAAUGGGAAACUUCAUGAAGGAACAAUAUCCUCUAUUGAAAAGGACAAGAAUGGAAGAUUAUUUGCUGUUGUAUCAUUCUUGGAGUCUGAAGAAAGGCAAAUACUAAUAACUAAACUUCGUAGAGUCAAAGCCAGUAGAAGACCCGGCAAAAGCUUAAUAUUUGAUGAUGAUCUGGAAAAGCCUUAUUUUCCUGACCAAAAUCUUCCAUGUCCUGCAGUUGCUUUUAAAUUAUCUGACAGUGGUGAUUUCAUCCCUUAUACAAUUAACAGAUAUCUGCGUGAUUAUCAAAGAGAAGGAGCCCAAUUUCUGUACAGACACUAUGCUAAUAAAAGGGGGUGUAUUCUUGGAGAUGAUAUGGGCCUUGGAAAGACAAUACAGGUCAUUUCGUUUUUGGCUGCAGUAUUGCACAAAAAGGGAACACGUGAGGAUAUUGAAAACAAUAUGCCAGAAUUUUUACUGAGGACAAUGAAAAAAGAAUCUAAAUGUAACCCCAAGAAGACUUUCCUCAUAGUGGCCCCUCUUUCAGUGCUUUACAACUGGAAGGAUGAGUUAGACACAUGGGGGUACUUUAAGGUUUGUGUCUUACAUGGCAGUAAAAAAGAUGAUGACUUGAAUCGCAUCAAGCAAGGGAAAUGUGAAGUUGCCCUUACAACAUAUGAGAUACUGCGCCUAUACUUGGAUGAAUUUAACAGUGUAGAAUGGUCUGCUGUGAUAGUGGAUGAAGCACACAGAAUCAAGAAUCCGAAGGCUCAAAUAACUCAAACCAUGAAGUCAUUAAAGUGCAGUGUUCGCAUAGGUCUUACUGGAACCAUUCUUCAAAACAAUAUGAAGGAACUUUGGUGUGUUAUGGACUGGGCUGUACCGGGACUUUUGGGUAGCAGAAUACAUUUCAAGAAGAAAUUUUCUGAUCCAGUGGAGCAUGGCCAGAGGCACACUGCAACUAAAAGAGAGCUGGCAACAGGUCGUAAGGCCAUGGUGAAGCUAGCAAGAAAAAUGUCUGGCUGGUUUCUGAGACGUACCAAAGCGCUUAUUAGUGAUCAGUUGCCGAAAAAGGAAGACAGAAUGGUGUACUGUUCCCUGACUGAAUUCCAGAAAGCCGUUUACCAGGCUGUGCUAGAGACAGAGGAUGUAAGUUUAGUAUUACGAGCAGGAGAGCCCUGUAGCUGCAACAGUGGCCGUAGGAGGAAGAACUGUUGUUACAAAGUAAAUGCUCAUGGUGAAACAAUUAAGUCACUGCGCUUCAGUUACCUGACAAUCCUACGAAAGGUUGCAAAUCACGCUGCACUCCUGCAGACAGACAACACUAGCAAGCAGCAGGAAGCACAUAUCAAACGGGUGUGUGCCCAGGUAUUUUCCAGUUUUCCAGAUUUUGUGCAGUUAAGCAAAGAUGCAGCCUUUGAAACAAUUUCAGAUCCAAAGUACAGUGGAAAAAUGAAGGUCCUUCAGCAGCUUUUAAAUCACUUCCGAAGAAACAGAGAUAAAGUUCUUCUUUUCUCCUUUUCCACAAAGUUGCUAGAUGUGCUGGAACAAUACUGUAUGGCAUCUGGGCUAGACUACCGGAGACUUGAUGGAAAUACAAAAUCAGAAGAUAGGACCAGAAUUGUAAGAGAGUUCAACAGCACUCAAGAAAUUAACAUAUGUCUUGUAUCUACAAUGGCUGGUGGACUGGGUCUUAAUUUUGUUGGUGCCAAUGUUGUUAUAUUGUUUGAUCCUACAUGGAACCCAGCAAAUGAUCUUCAAGCUAUUGACAGAGCUUAUAGGAUUGGCCAAUACAAAGCUGUUAAAGUGUUUAGAUUGAUAUCCUUGGGAACUGUGGAGGAGAUGAUGUACUUGCGACAAGUUUAUAAGCAGCAACUUCACUGUGCAGUGGUUGGAAGUGAAAAUGCCAAGCGGUAUUUUGAGGCAGUGCAAGGAUCAAAGGAGCAUCAAGGAGAGCUUUUUGGGAUCCAUAACCUUUUCAAACUUAGGACUCAUGGGUCCUGUCUUACCAAAGAGAUCCUGGAGAGGGAAGGGCGAGUAGAAGCAGGAGUCAUGACAGCAGCUACAUGGCUAAAGGAAGAGACUCUUCCAUGCAACUCAGAAAAGUGUGAACAAACAGACUCUAAAGAAGAUAGAGAUCCCCAAAACAUUCAGGCACAAUUGAAGAAAGAAGAAAUGGAUUUUUGUGAGGACUUUAGUGACGAUGAUAUUCUGGAAGCUGCCGUGAAAAAAUGUGACAGAAGGAAGUCUUCUAAUGCAAAUAAUUUAAUGUUAACAAAGGGGCAGCUUUCCCUAAUGCAAUGUGGAUUCUCUAAGUUGUUGCAGAAAGAAGUUGAAACUAUGAAGGAAGGACACGAUAGUUAUAACUCUGAUCAUUCAAGUUCUGAUGAUGAGACUAUGAGAACAAAUAUAAAUAGCAAGCACGGUGAUUUUCAGAACUGUCAAAGCCAUGUGCCCGAUUUGCCACAUGGAGAAGCUGCUCAGUCACCGGAUGUAACUGAUAAACAGGAUAUGCCUGGGACAGACUGGCUCAUUUUAUCGGGCUCUGAGGAGGAAGUGGACAGAGAAAGUGACAAUCAAGGUGUUUCAAAGCAAAGUGAUAUAGUCAUGGAAACUGAAAGCAGUUCUGAAGAGGAUGAUGACAUCAUCUUUCCUACCCAAGUUCCAUCGUGCCAGCAACCAAUGCUUAGUAAAGAAGUUGAAAUAUACAAGUCGACAUCUGAAAAUUGUAAAGCGUUAGCAGAAGAAAAAGAUGGGUUUGUAUUUAAGGGAGACAGUAGGCAAUUUGGAUUCCAUAGCACUGAGUCAAAUUUCAGCACAGUCAGGUCUUUUGAAGAUAUCAAGAAAAGCACAAAAGAUUUAAAAGAAGCAAACGACGUAAGUGAUGAGUCUGAUGAUAUUGAAAUUUCGCACAAUUCUGAAACAAGAAAGUUAAGAACUUUCAACUUUCCAAAGUGGAAAGAAAGACAUGCGCAUAACAGUGGACUAGGUAACAUCUCCAAAUCUCUGCUACAAGCAAAGAAGACCAAUGAAAAAGGAAAGGAAAGUGAUUCUCAGAAUAUAGAUGAAUUUUCAUCCUCUGAAGAUAGCUUCCCAGUUGAGAAAAAUCAUGUCAGAAAGAAAAGCUAUAAGUGUAAAAGCCAGAGAGUCAGAGUUCGUUUUGGGCCUAAAACAUUUCAUCCUGUUAAAGAUACCUCUGUUGCACAAAUGAAGUCUAGCAGUUAUGCUGUGCAUAGAACUUCUGCAAGUAAAACUGAAUUUAAACAUCAAGAGCAAGAAGUGGAAUCAAUGGACAGAUAUUUAGAUGGUGUUCAAGAAGUGGCAUAUAUUCAUUCGAAUCAGAAUGUGGUUGGAUCCAGCAAGGCUGAGAAUCGCUUGAGCCGAUGGGCGGUGCGAGAUGUAUUUGAGUUGAAGCAGUUUUCCCAGCUCCCUGCUAAUGUAGCAGUCUGUAGUGCCAAGGUAAUUCUGAAAGAGAAGGAAAGCACAUCCACGCAGGAUGAUUGGAGAGCUUCAGAGUUGUUUGCUUGGUGAGGACUGUAGCCUAAAAUGAAAGAAGGAAUAGAGUAUAGGAUGCACUGAGCCAGAACAAACUUGUGAGACCGUGCAGUUGUUGUCUCCGUCCACAACUCAGCGCCACAGACCUCCCUCAUCACAUCUUCCCUGUGAUUAGCCUUCCCUUCCAUGCUGGAUUUGCAUCUGUCCCUAGUUACCCUCUCCCCAUGGAGAAACUGAGGCAUAAGACAGGUGCUGGAUGACAACUGAAGAGAUGAAAUUGCAGUGAAGCCACUUAAACACUUAUCAAAGAAAUGGACCUGCUAAUUAAAAGGAUAAUAUUUCCUGGCACCAAGACAAAACACACAAAACUGAAUCUCAAGGACUUCCUCAAGCAAACUUCUGUGGGAAUGUGGCUGCGUGAGGGCUGCAGGAACAAGCCUUAAAGUAAGACCUGCUCAAAGUGAAACCAUCAGAUCAGUGCACUCAUUAGAAAAAAACACUAAGGAAUGUGUAUACCUGCUUCAUUUGCCAAAUGUCUCAUUGCUUUGCAUUCCUACUUCACUUUUUAUUGAGGCUUUUCCAUGUAACUGAUUACAGUAAUUAAUUUUGCCAUCACUUCUGUGAGGCAGGAGGUGUUUCUCCCAGGUUGGCUGUGCAGUGUUGGUUUUACAGAUGACAAAACCAAGACACAAGGUUCAGAGACAGCAAAUCAGUGCUGGAGUAUGGUAGAGUCCCGUUCCUGGCUCUGACCGCAAUACAGGCUGUUUCUGCUAAGUAUGCGCUAAUGUCAAACAAAGCGCUUAAAUUAGCAGAUCUUCCCUAUAUGAAUGAAGGCGAUGCAUCUGUUUUAGCGAGCACUCUUCUAAUAUCCCUGACACCACAUAAGGAAUUUAGAUCCAUGAUAAAGGCAACACUGUGGCACGCUUUUUUACAUUCCUAUUCUAAUUCCAGAACAGUUCAGUCUCAAUGCAAAAGGCAGCCUCUGGACCACUGGAAGAAGUUUUAAAUGUCAAUAAUUUGGGGAAAAGUUGGGUCUACAGUGAUAUUACGGUCUAGUUCAUGCUAACUGUUUUUUUAUACUCUACUGGCCUCUAGAGGGAUAAUUUAUACACAGGCUGAAGCGGUAACCUAGGGAUUUUAAGCGUUACUGCCUAUUCUUCGAUCUUCAUGCCAGGUAGUUAUUUUCUGUUUUGCAAGACUUUCAGGCAGUGAGGCUUUGUAGCUCUUUGGAAACACUCUUUUCGCUUCCGUGGUUUUCCUUCUCUCCAGGCAAUAGAUGUAAGGUGUGUUUCUUCUGCUCAAAUAAAUAAGGGUAAAAGAUCCUGGCAAUAAACGCCUUUCAGCUGCUGAAGUGAGAAGCUCUGAGGAAAAUGUGCCAGAGGAGUGAGUGAAAGAGAGAAGUGCUGAAAAGAGAAUACAGUGUUUUAUGUAUACUGUGUAUCCAUAAUUUAAAAUCUCCUAAACACUGAGAAUAACUCUCAUGAAUCCUAUCAUAUUCACUGGAAAGCAUAAAUAUGUCAUGAAAGAAAAAAAAAGAAAACCAUCACCAACAAAAACCAUCACAGGUUUGAAAGCCCUGAAAGACAGCUCAUCUUCUUUGGUUUUUUGUGCAUUCUGUUUCUCUACACACUGCAAGGGUUUGCUGUAUUCUCUACUUCAUUCCCAGACCCCAUCUUUUGUUAUUUUUUUUUUUCAGACUAUAUGUAUUAUAUUUGGGAAAAACACUGAACAGAAAGUUUGACAGUUUUCUGCCACAAGUAGGUAAUGCUCCGUAAGCAGUAACUGCUUUCAGGAAAUCUUGUGGCUUUGUUCAAUAUUAAGUACCUAUAUUCUUAAUAUUUAAAGUGCACUUUCUGUAACUUCAGAGCACAGCAGGCAUCUUGGUACUUCUAUGUGAAGGCCUGAAUUACUGCUCCAGAAUCAUCUAUACCCUUUAUCCAGCACCAAUAGUGUACAUCUUCCAGGUCCUCAGCUCCAUCCUGGUCCUUUACCUCCACUCCUGAUGGCCAGUUUUCUCCCAACUGAAAUGUCUUGUGUCUCCUCAGGAUAACUCCAUCAUCUCCCAAUUGUCAGUUUUGCACUUGGAGUGAGGUCGGCUCGCUGGACGCCAACUCAAACUAAUUUUUAAUUCCUCUAUGCCUAAUGAUAUGAUAGUUGUAGAAUAUGCUUAUAUUAGCUUCUCCUUUUCUCUUUGAGGUGACUAUCAGGGGCAUUCAGUGUAGGGAGGUGCCUUGUCUAGGGACCAUCCUCACCUCAAACACUAUUUUAGUGUUUAAGUUGACAUACUCGUUGACCAGUUUUUCCCACAAAGUCCUUUGCAACAUUUAACCAUGUAUGGGAAAUAUUAUUGAGUGCAGUGAAAAGUCAAGUAGGGCCUCUGUGGUAGGACAGACAUCUGUCAUGGGAUUUGCUUCUCUUAAGCCUUGUUCUAGUAAAACCCUGAGGGAAGCAAAAUGCUGUAAUAAUCAAGACCUGCAGCUGUAAGCUACAGCAAAAUUCAUUUUGACUCCAGGAGGGCUAGGCUUCCAGUCUUGUGUGGAAAAAACAAAAGAUCCCACAUCACUCCAGUGUGCCUGCAGCCAGUGGAAAGAUUUCCUCUCAUUCCUUCUCUGUGCUGUUCUGCAUAUACGUCAUCAAAGUCCUGCAAACUGAGUUAUUUAUGAAAAUUUGUAUGUACUCUUCAGCACAUACAAGAAGCAAUCAGGUCCAAAGACUGAAGUGUAGUGUAGUGACAUAUAAACAUUCUGUGAGAACUUCCAAAAUUAUCUGAAUGACUAUUGACGCUUGCUGUGUCCCACUUGGGUAGCUAGAUGAGGUAGCCAGUAUAAAGCUAAUCUUCAGGAGGCUGUAUAUUUGCCAUAAUCAAAGACAGCGUUCAAUCUAUGCAGUUUGUAUGUACUACUAGUAAAAAAUAUCUCCAAAAGGAGAACAAAUGAAACAAAGGAAAUUCUGACUGUUAUGAUUCAAUUAAGAAAAUGGAGCUGCGCAGAGCUUCUGAGUUUCAGUGUUGUUUUGCAGGCUUGGUUAGUGUGUGGUGUGCAAAAGGAGGAAAUUACAAAACAGCGAUUGGCUGGCUUGGCCCAAAACUGUGCACUAGAAAUUACUGGAUUAGUGGUGACAGUAACUACAGAUGCCAGGGAACUGCAACAGCGACAUGUCGUCUGUGCAACAAAUAACUGGGGUCAAAGAGAAAGCACAAAGACCACAUUCAGAGACUGUGUCCUUUUGUUGUGGGAAACAGCUUCACAAUGCAAAUGCUUAUUCGUUUGAACAAACCUUGAAGAAACUGCUGGAAAUUGGGACAAAUUCAACAAAUAUGCAGGUCAGUGCAAGCCUUUCAGGAAGGAAGACAAUGCUGGAGUAUUUUGGAUUCAUAAGGUCUGAGGUGACAGCACAGACAGGCUGAAAAUGUUGUAGCAAUUCUGCAACUGCUACAUGACACAACACUGAUGUUAUUAAAUGAGAGUUAAAACAGAGCUAGAUUAUCACAGGCAACCUAGAGGUAUGAAUAUGCAAAAAAUCUUGAUGCUAUGAACAACUUAAACAGGGGAAAUCCAUCUCUUUCUCUUCAGCAUUAUUACAGUAAAGUUCACAGGUAGUUACAAAAUGCUGAAGCUAAAACUCUGUCUUGUGAAGCACAGGAGUGUUGUGUUCUUUGGCAGAGUGGGGCAAAAGGAUAUUCAUCUGAUCUGCUGAAGUACAGAAUAUCCAGAUAGCUUACUAUGGAGCCUAACUUAGGUGCUGAAUCUCACCGCCUUCCCCCGCUCAGCCUUUAAGUCUAAAUCACUCAUUAUGCUCCUGAAUUUGGAAGCUGUAACAGGCAUGCAAUAUCAGUGAAUAUAGCCCAGAGUGCCUGAGGGCUUAGAAAGAAAGAGGCAAAAAAGAAAAUUCCUGCCUAAAUAAAAAUGGUGCUUCAGUUUCAGAUGUGUCAGUGUUGGAUCAAAACUGGGAUGCCAAAGAAGCCCGUGGUAGAUAUUUCGCACAUGUAAUAGAGGCGUACCGUGUGCUGGAAGUCUUUCCUGUCCUUGCAUUUCAGUCUUCCACAUCAACACAACGUCACUGUGCUCAUGUUGACAGGAACUUAGCAGAUACUAAGGGCUGAUGGGUAAGACAUCUUUUUCUCCUGUUGCAAGUAAUGAACUUCUAAAUCUUGCCCUGGGAGUACAUGCAGUGGUCUUAUGAAAAUGACAGAUAAAUGUGGCCAUUUAUGGCACCGGCUAUUAUUAUAUUAAUUUCAAGUGCAAGUGUUAGUUGCUUGCCAAUGGAAGCAGGAGGUAUCAAUAGUGGGUGACAAGGACAGUCAUUUCAUGGCAUAAUCUGAUAUGGUGGGGCAAUAUCUAGUAUGACCCCACAUUGGCUAAACUGUAGUGUAUUAUGGCAAAAGGACUGACUCAUGUAGAGAAAAAACUGUUUGUAGCCUUUUUAGUUGGAAACAAAUUAGAGUAGCUAAUUUGUAUUUCAGAGGAUUGUUCUGAAGUUGCAGGUCUUUUAUGCUCCGAGCAGUGUCAGGGUGUUGGGAAGAUGCUGAAUCAAAAGUCUUUCAAAGAGGUAACCAGGUAUUCAUAUACAACUAAGGGGGGAAAUUUAUUUUGUUUUAUUAAUACUAAUGUUUCUGUAACUUUUUAAUAUUUUUUUUUAAUAGAUUCAUAGAGUUCAGAAGGAACCAUUAGCUUCUUUCACAAACAUUGAAUGUCAUUUGCUUUAUGUUAGGGCAUUAACUAUACACUAACAGUAUGGGCACUUUAAACAGCUUUCACUGUGCUUUAUACUUUCAAGACUGGCCAAAGUAACAUGUGCAUAGAUAGCGUUCAGAUGUUCAUUUUAAUUAGCAAAUCUGAGUAUCUGAAAGCAAACCAGUUUUUCCACAUUAUUUUGCUUUAUCAAGAGCACAAUAUAUGAGGGGAACCAUUCCAUCAUCCAUUCUUAUUCAUCUGCACUAACUGUCAAAACCAAGAAAACUGAUUUCCAGUAAACCAGUUGGGUUUUGUUUUUGUUUUUUCUCUUUCCUGGAUACAGGAAUACAGGGACCUACGCCGGAUUUAUGUUUUCCAGACCCCAUCCCACUUCCUCGCUUGAGUUUGAAAUUGCUGAGCAGGAUUUCCAGUGGCAACUCCAAUAUGGAGUUCACCGUUCAUGACUAUACUCUUUUUUCUCAGGGAGAUUUUAGAAAUUCUCCAGGAAAGGGAAGCACCUCAUUGGAAUAACAGGAGAAAACCGCUACUUUCAGUUUGCAGUGGAGACUUUUUCUGGCAACAGUCUGAGAGGACCUAUUCAGCACACUGAAUGCAGUAGCACAAAGGAGGGGACUCUUUAAUGAGAGACUUUGUUAUCUCUCUUUUUUUUUUAGCCUUUAUUGUUGAGGAAACUGGAAGGUAUUUACUGAAUCAAGCAGAGCUGGGGUGGGGAAACGCUGCCACUGACAACUGAAUUCUCUCUCUAACACAUUUAGCGUGCAGCUAUAACGCCAAGAAUUUAGCAGGUAAUUGCUCACUGUGUGCAGGGGUCUCACUUGCAGAACUGCAGAGCACUCAUAAGAGCCAUGGAAGUCAAUGGAAGUGGUGUCUGGAAAAUGUAAAGUGCCUGCUAGUGCCGAAAAGUCUGAAAAAAAAAAUAAUCCCAGGAGCCUCAAUUUAGGCACACAAAAGAGGUGGGCCCCUUGGACAUUAAUCUGUUUGUGCUUCAAUUCCCAUCUUUUAUAGUAGUCCCUCAUUUCAUAGGCUUGUUAUAAAUGCAGUCUGUGAAGCACUCAAGUAUUAUAAUACAAAGGAAAACAGAGAGACCUGCAAGGAACUUAACUCUUCUGUCUUCAAAGCUGUCUCUGAAUUAUGCAGAACACUGGGGAUGGGACAAGCUGAUGACUAGCAGCCCAGUCUGUAAACCCUUACCAUACCCUGAGGCACACACACAACUGAACCCAAGGAAGAUUUUAUGGGCGAGGGAAGUUCUGGUGUUCUUCACUUUAAAGAAUUGUAUCUGCAGCUUCAUUGUGUAUUUUUAGUUCUACAUGUGUGCACCACACAUGCAGAACGCUGUUGUCUCUAAUGGCUUUGCUUUUCAGGAUCCUUGUAGUCCUAACUGCAAUUGGAGGUUCCUAAAAUAUUCCUCAUAUUCCUAGGCUUCUCUUUCACUAGAAAACUGUUUGUGGGUUUUUUACCUCAUGUCGUCUUUUAUGUUUAAAUCAGAGAAAGAAAUAUUUAUUUGUCCACACACCAACCCUUCAUCCUCCAGAAUCACAAAGAAAAUCAAGAGCUUUGCAUUCUGUAGGACUGUCAUGUCCUUGCCUGAUUUGGUUCUCAGUUCUGUAAGUGGUCAUUUACUGAUCCAUUUGGCAACUAUUUAGCAUCUGCUUUGUUUCUAUGUGCCUGCUCCCUCUCCUAUUUUUUUCUGAUGAUGUCCUGUCUGAUAUUUCAAUGAAAGGAUUUCUCUGAUAAUACUGACAUUCACAAAAAUUGCCUCGUAUUAUGCACAAGGUAGUACAUUCUUUUCCCAGCACAGUAUGAGUUGCUUUCUCAACUUUUCUUGUUAGUGGUACUUAAAUUUGCAGUAUGUCUCACUUUAGGUCUAUCAAAUACCACAGAGCUUUCUCUUCUACCGGUAAAAGAAACCUCAUAAAUUUUUAAUGGCUAUCAUUCAGUGUACUCCUUACUUCAAAGGCACUUCUACGAUCUUACUGGAAUUUCCCUUCUUGAAGAUAUAUCCAUAAAAAUUGUCAUUACGUAUAAUCAUCACUGGAAAAGCAAAAAGGUGACUAGGUACAGUAUACAUUUACAAUGACCGUAGGUACAUGGCUGAAAGAUCACAUUUGUGAGUGUCAGCCUCAGGGUGCAAGAUCCCCUUCCAGUGCCCAUCCAUAUCACAAAGGAAUUUUUGCAGUAUACUGCUCUCACAGCCUGAGUCUAUAGGAGAUUUCUCAUUCAUCAUACAGAAGAUGGAUUAAUUUGUAACAAAGACAACAAAUCUCUAGCUUGUGCAUGUGCCUUAUUUGACAUGCUAUGCUUCUUUUUGUUCCUGUUCUUCAGUUCGUAGAGACCAAAUAUGGUAUCCUCGAGUGAAGCAGGCAACCAGGGGAAUGCUGGGUUCUUCAAGAUUUGCAACUUCCAGAUGUUUUUACACAACUGUUCGAAAUUGAGAUGUUGGGUGUAUGGCUUUCAUUUUGUUUUUCUACAGUAUGCUCUUUUGCUCCUUUGUCACCCCUUCCUUUGUGUGGUAUUUGAGAUGGUUUAAGGUAAGGGCAUAUAUUGUCUGUCCAUUUUUAUUGAGGCUCUGGAUCCAAUCAGUGCUGCUAGUGGUUGAGUGAACUUCUCUGUCUAGUAGCCUUUUACAAGCUUCUUUACGCUGUCUGAGUAGUUGUGUCUUUCUUUGGCAAAAAUGUUUGACACUGCUGGAUUGAAUGAAAUAGAAAUUUUCAAAUUAAUUUCUGAACUCUGCUAAUGAAAAGGAGUAAUGUGAAAAAAAUAAAUCACUACUUUGAAAAGA